rnacentral:rRNA from 1 species
GACGAACGCUGGCGGCGUGCUUAUCACAUGCAAGCCGAACGAUGACGCCGGAGCUUGCUCUGGUGAAUUAGUGGCGAACGGGUGAGUAACACGUGAGUAACCUGCCCUUGACUCUGGGAUAACUGCGGGAAACUGUAGCUAAUACCGGAUACGACCCUCGGAGGCAUCUCCUGGGGGUGGAAAGAAUUUCGGUCAAGGAUGGACUCGCGGCCUAUCAGCUAGUUGGUGAGGCAAAGGCUCACCAAGGCGACGACGGGUAGCCGGCCUGAGAGGGUGACCGGCCACCCUGGGACUGCGACCCGGCCCAGACUCCUACGGGAGGCGGCAGUGGGGAAUAUUGCCCAAUGGGCGCAGGCCGGAUGCGGCAACGCCGCGUGAGGGAUGACGGCCUUCGGGUUGUAAACCUCUUUUAGCAGGGAAGAAGCGAAAGUGACGGUACCUGCAGAAAAAGCGCCGGCUAACUACGUGCCAGCCGCCGCGGUAA